GGGGAUGUAGCUCAGUAGUAGAGCACCUGCCUAGCAUGCAUGAGGCCCUGCGUUCCAUCCCCA
rnacentral:tRNA from 1 species